rnacentral:lncRNA from 1 species
GGCGGCUAGGAAGGCCCGCGGGGAGUCCGGGGCGGUCCCGCCGGUCGGGCCUGGAUCCGCGUUGGCCCGCGGGCUCGGGUGAGCCCGCUCAAACGCCCCGGGAGCCACCGCCGCCUCCUCAGCGCCAGUCCUCAGCGCUGAAAAGACUCUCCCUUCGUCUCCCAACCGCCCCGCCAAUAGAGACCGCCCCUCGUUUUGACACCGCCCAAUCCACGGCGGGCCCUCUCGUCUGCCCCGCCCCCGACCCCGAAGGACCGUCCUCCAGGGCCAAUAGGCACAAAAGGAGACGACGUAGCACGGUCCGGCCGGAGGUAGACGGUCUGUGGGACCAAUCGGAGUGCGGGCAGGGAGCCGGGUGCCGCCUCCGAAACAAAAGAAGGCACUUGGCUGGUUUGCCCGCCAAUGAGAAGGCUCGGAAAGGAGUUGCAUGGAGGUGGGACUAUGGGCCAGCACAGAGAACUGCGCCUGCGCCAGGGCUCCGGGCGCUAGGAUGCUAGUCCAACGGAGGCCGGCCUCUAGUAAUAGGUUGCUGGGGAGCGGCACUUUGUUAGUCUCGUUGCUAGGGGGCGGGGCCACAACUGUCGGCUGGUCCCGUGAGCCACGCCUCCUUGGCUGGCUUAGCAGGUUUUUGACCGCAGCGGUUGCCAGGCAACUGGGAGCAGCUUGGGCCCAUCUUUUGGCCUCCGGUCUCCUGGUACUGGCCGCUCCGAUCUCCAGAUCGGACACCCUUCACCCUUCUCAGGUCCUUCUCAGGACCUUCCCGUCCAUUUAAGUCUCUUGAGAGUCCCGGAGUGCUGAAACAAAAGACUUAUUCUUUCUUCCAAACGAAAACGCUAUCGGGUAUCUGUCACGGAGAAUGGGACAACAGGGGAAGGCCAAGUAUAGUGAAGGCUCCGCCUUCCUGGCGCCUUCUGCCUCUCGGGCUCCUCCCUCUCGCCCUCAAACUCCUCCCCUUAUUUUAGCGUCCUUCCCCACCCCCCCCAAACAACCCCUUUUCCUCAACAUCCUCCCAUUUCUCUGGUUCCUUCCCCGCUCUGACUCCCCUCACUUCAGGCCCCAACUCUUCUUAAACGCCUCCCUCCUCUCGGAGUGUCCCCCCCCUACACACACACACACACACACACACACACACACACACACACGAUGCCCUCCCCCUCCCCCUCCAGCCUCUCAUUUCCAUUCCUUGUAGAAAAAGCAAGGGCAGGCAGCUGGCCGGGAUGGAAUAGUCUGGGCAUCCCUGUCAUGGGCGGAUCCCUAACUGCGUCUGAGGUGGUGUCUGGGCCUUGUCCUCAUUCGCCGUCCCUGGGCUAGGCAGGUGGGGAUAGAUUCAGGGCCAGGACCUGGUUAAGCUGACAGAUUAGACACGGAGCCUCUUAAUCCCCUCACUGACCUUUAUGAGCGGCCCACACCUUGUCCUCCCCAGUGGAAACCCAGGCUGUGCCGGCCCGGCCCCGUUCUCUUUCCUUCCAAACAGAACCCUCAUCCUGUCCCUUCACCCUCAAUUUAACACCCUUCUCCGUGCCUGUGUUCCCAUUACCCCCCCGUCCCUACCCCCAGACACCCUGCACUGGGAGAACAGCUAGCUAAUUAAUCCCAUCCGGUUUUUAAGUGGGGAUUUUGAAGGAUAAAGGGAGGUGGGGAAGCCAGAAGCGGGGACCUGGGUUGGUGCAGCACUUGGGCAAGCUAAUGGGCAAUGACAGUGCCUGCCCUCAGUCCUGGGACACGGGCAGGAAGGUGUCCUCCUCCCUGGCGCUGGAUCCUUCUGCAGCUGGCUCGCAGCCUGCUGGGCACUUAGGUAGAUAGCAGUAUGGUGGGGGUUGGAGGACAGGAGCGAGGAACCACACCCCAGAAGCACACUCACAGACACGCCACCAGGGCUCCCAGGGAUUUAAUCUGGGGUACAAUUCUCCCCCCGAAACACACACUUUCUCUCGGCAUUCAGAGCGACCUUCUCCUUCCCCAGACCCGAGCUGGACCAGAGGGAGGAGAUUCUGGCCCUCAGCCACAGCCUGCCCUGUCAUUCACACGUCCAAGUUCAGAGCUGACCUCCAAGAGCAUCUCCCCUCCCAGUCGCCCCUGGAAGGCCAUGCGUUCCAGCAGCAAGGGGAGCUGGGAAAUCUACAGGACGCUCACCCCCACCCCUAGCCGUCCCCUUCAGGGAAGUGAGGAAUCAUCCGGUGGAAAGGUCCUUUGAGAAUUUCAAGUUCCAAUGCCCCAUUUUUACAGAUGGGGAAACUGCGGCGGGGAGAGGGGAGUGAUUUGCCCAAAGUCACACGGUACGUGGCGGCAGAGUUGGGAUUUAGAGCAAAGCUUCCUGGAUCCUUGUAAAGGACUCUAUUCCAAUUAGCUUAAGCUCAAUUUCUAACCCUUUUGUAGGAACCAUGGGAAAAUAUAGAUAGAUAUCUGUAUUUAUAUUAUAUAUAUAAUACACAUAUUUAUAACGUCUUUAAGAAAUAGACACACAUCACUAGGUGCAGGAUUCCAGAGCACUGUAGACUCAUCAGCCUUGGGCCUCUCCUCUCUGCCCAACAAGCAGCCCUGUUAUCCACAGGGUCUCGUCUGGGUCCUCCCUUUCUCGGUCAGCCCAGAAAUGCUGUCUAUCAAAUCCCGAGUCCACUUCCUAGAAUGGCCAAGUUCUAGGAGCUGACUAGAACUUUCCAGGUUUUAAUAAUGGACAACUCUGGCUCCCCAGAGCUUUGAUUCCCUUUGGCAUUAACAGAACCACAAAGAAUCAUCAAGAUUCUCAACUCCAUUGGGCAAACUGGAACCAACAAAUCUCAGACAUCCAGAAUCGCCACUCCUUCCUUGACUCUGUGAUCAACCUAGAGACACAGAAUCCU